UACGUAGGGUGCGAGCGUUAAUCGGAAUUACUGGGCGUAAAGCGUGCGCAGGCGGUUCGUUGUGUCGGUGGUGAAAGCCCCGGGCUUAACCCUGGGAAUGGCCAUGGAAACUGGCGAACUGGAGUGUGGCAGAGGGGGGUGGAAUUCCGGCGUGUAGCAGUGAAAUGCGUAGAUAUCGGAAGGAACACCAGUGGCGAAGGCGACUGUCUGGCCUGAUACUGACGCUGAGGCGCGAAAGCGUGGGGAGCAAACAGG
rnacentral:rRNA from 1 species